CUCGGCAAACACAAGCCUCGCCUGUUUACCAAAAACAUCGCCUCUUGGCCCGCCUAAUAUAAGAGGUCCCGCCUGCCCUGUGACUAUAUGUUUAACGGCCGCGGUAUUUUGACCGUGCGAAGGUAGCGCAAUCACUUGUCUUUUAAAUGAAGACCCGUAUGAAUGGCAUAACGAGGGCUUAACUGUCUCCUUUUUCCAGUCAAUGAAAUUGAUCUUCCCGUGCAGAAGCGGGAAUAAUAACAUAAGACGAGAAGACCCUGUGAAGCUUACAGACGAAUAAACAGACCACACUAACCACCUCAAAUAAAAGAACCAAAGCACUGGCCCCUGUCUUAAUGUCUUCGGUUGGGGCGACCGCGGAGAAACAAAAAACCCCCAUGUGGAUUGGGAGCAUCUCACCCUCUUCCCUCCUAAAAUAAAGAGUUACACCUCUAAUAUAACAGAACAUUUGACCAAAUGAUCCGGUAAUACCGAUCAACGGACCGAGUUACUCCAGGGAUAACAGCGCAAUCCCCUUCUAGAGUCCAUAUCGACAAGGGGGUUUACGACCUCGAUGUUGGAUCAGGACAUCCUAAUGGUGCAGCCGCUAUUAAGGGUUCGUUUGUUCAACGAUU
rnacentral:rRNA from 1 species